rnacentral:lncRNA from 1 species
AUUGGCAAAUAGCAACUAACCAUGAAAUUAUUGCAUCUUUGUUGGCAGUUUAAUUUCACUGUGCAAAUAAAAGAGUUUUUCCAAUAUAUAAAAAUUUUUACUAAGGUACAAAAUGUCACAAUAUCAGAUUAUAUAAUCAACUGCUUGGAAACUAGGAAACUAAAAAACUAGAAAAAAUAAAAUUUAAUAUCUUGCCUUUUCUAUUGCUUACUGAAGUCAGUCAUUGAACAGUGUGAACUAUCAAACAAAAAAAAAGUUUUUAGUUUGAGUUUUCUUGUAGCAGAAAUGAAUAAUGAAUAUCAGGAUGCUAAGAACCUGUCAGCAAUUGCAUUAUAAACCUAACUUUGUAAUGACUAUUAAAAUCCAAUUGAAAAGCAGUUGAAAUUUAACUUGAUAAUGUUAUAAAUUGAAAGUGAACUAGAGAAUCUAGGAAAUGUUUCUCUUAUUCUACAUCAAGUAAGUUCUCAAAGUAGAAUUUAAAUGUGAGUAUAAAGUAUGAACUACAUUUAUUGAAAUCCCUAAAUUUCCAAUGAUAUUUUUAAUCAAUGGUAUCGAAUGAUCUGCUAACCAUUUAAGUACUAAAGUAAAAAAAGGCAAUUCUUGAUUUCACGGUUAAGAUAAAAUUUUAAAAAGUUUCACAGAAAGUGUUGGAGUUCACAAAGACCUUCCUUUUUCUUUUUCUAUUUUUUCUUUCUUUCUUUUUUUUUUAAUAUGUCAUUGCUGUCUACUCCGGGAAUUUAGGAGGAAAACAUUACCAUAGCUCUCCUUAUUAAUUCAUUAAAGUGAAUAAUAUAUUACAUGUGGAUAAUAAAAAUGCCCCCCAAAACAAAGACUGAUGUAUUUUCAGAGGUUGAACAUAUUAAAUGUUGACUAUGUUUAUAAUUAUAUGUUGAGUGAGUGAGGAAAAAGCUUAAUCAGAUUCUAUAUUUAAAUGAAACUUCUUAAUAUCUUCAUUAAGAAAUCCAUUUUUAUGUUCUAUUUACAGUCCUGUUUUUGCUUGUUUUCAGUUAAGUGUGAUUGUGGUAUUGAUUUUUGAAGAGUCUUCUCUUGGCCUCUCAUCUUAGUCCCAGAAGGCACCACUUCGGGUGCUUUGGUAGCUAUCUAUUUUUACCUCUUGAUAUAUUUUCAGUUGUCUUGCUCUUCAACUCUCCUCCCCUUCUCUCUUUUCCCCACUCCUCUCAUUCCUCCUCUCAUGUAUCUAAUUAUGCAGCAUGCUCUAUUCUGAGCAAUGAUGGCUUGACAUAGACAUGUGGAGUUAAAAUCGCAUUGAAUGGAUAUAGGAAAGGUCAACUAUUCCUCACUGAUGGACAUUUAAGUUCCUCACUGAUGGACAUUUAAGUUCUCUCACUAUAGUUUUACAGGUAUAUGUGUAGUGUUAUGUCCGUUAGAAUUCUGGUUUGAUGAGUCAAAGGUAAUGCAAAUGUUUAAUGUUAAUUUAUGCUGCCAGCUAUUUUCUCAAAAGUUUGUUUGCAGUUUACAUUUCUACCAUGCAUAACUGAAUUGCUUUCUAACACAAUUGCUGGAAGUUAUUAUUUGUGUAUAUGUAUUUCUGUGUGUGUGUGUAUGAGUGUGAGUGAGUGAAUCUAAUCAGCAAUUCUGAUCUGCCUCAUAACAGUAGGAUGUACAGAGUUCCUGUUGUGGCUUAGUGGAUUAAGAACCUAACUUUGUCUUGUGAGGAUGCAGGUUCUUUCCCUGGCCUCGCUCACCAGGUUAAGGAUCCAGCAUUGCCUCAAGUUGCAAUGUACGUCACAGACACUGCUUGGAUUCUGUGUUGCUGUGGCUGUGGUAUAGGCGGGCAGCUGCCCCUUGGAUUCAGCCCUUAGCCUGGGAAUUUCUGUAAGCUGCAGGUGCGGCCUUUAAAAAAAUUAAAUUGAAAAAUAAAAGUAGAAUGCAAACUUCAUGCAUGUUUAAACAAAUUUAAAUCAAAGAUCAGAAAUUUGGGCCCUAAAACUGGGCACAUAUCACUUGCCAUAAUUCUACACUAAAUUUAGAAUGAAGUUAUCAUAUUCUAAGGGCUACUUUUAUUUAACUGUAGCUAAUAGAAAGGAAUAAAUCAAAGCCUUAAAUACACAUUUAAUUUUAACAGAGAAAGGUAGAUUCCAAUUCAUUUUUAAAAAUAAUUUUAGAUUUAUUUCUUUAUCUCCUAGAUUUACUGCUCAUAAUUAGUAAACUAAUUAUCCUAUUAUGUGUUAUCAAGAUAUUAAGCUAAUUUAGUUAAAACUAGAUUAUUUAUAGAUUUUUGACGUUUAAAAAUCUAUAUAUCUUCUAAAAUUAUAGAUACUUAUUCUUUGUCACAUUACAGUCAGCUCUAUCUCUGUGCUAUAUAGUAGAGCCCCAUUGCCCAUUCAUUCCAAAUAUAACAAUUUGCAUCCUAAAACCCAAACUACCUGUCCAUCCCACUUCCUCCCCCCACCUCCCUGGAAACGACAAGUCUGAUCUCCUUGGCCACAAUCUGUUUCUGUUUUGUAGAUAUGAUCAUCUCUGCCAUAUUUUAGAUUCCACAAAUAAGUGAUAUCAUAUGAUAUGUCUUUUUCUUUCUGGCUUAUUUCACUUAGCAUGAGAGUCUCUAGGUCCAUCCAUGUUGCUGCAAAUAGCAUUUAUCUUUUUUAUGGCUGAGUGAUAUAUAUAUAUAUAUCACAUCUUCUUAAUCCAUUCAUCUGAUGAUUGACAUUUAGGUUGUUUCCAUGUCUUAGCUAUCAUGAAUAGUGCUGCAAUGAACAUACGGGUGCAUAUGUCUUUUUCGAGAAAAGUUUUAUCUGGAUAUAUGCCCAGAAGUGGGAUUGCUAGGUCAUAAGGUAGUUCUAUAUUUAGUUUCCUGAAGUUCCUCCAUACUGUUUUCCAUAGUGGUUGUACCAAUUUGCAUUCCCACCAACAGUGAAGGAGGGUACCCUUUUCUCUAUACCCUCUCCAGCAUUUGUUAUUUGUUGACUUGUUAAUGAUGGCCAUUCUGACUGGUGUGAGGUAGUACCUCAUCUUUGUUUUAUUUGCAUUUCUCUAAUAAUUAGUGAUGUUGAGCAUUUUUUCAUGGGGCAUUUAGUAAGCUUCUGUUUUCUUGACCAAAUGUUGACUUUCACAGCUGGACUUUAGAAAUAGCUGUUAUUGUACUCUGUCCAUUUUCUCAGACAUUUCUUUAAUUUACCUUGAAGUUCCAUUUCUCAGUUUUUGCCUUUAUAUGUACAAUGUCUUUGAUUUCUCUUCCUUACUCUCAGCUAAUACCUACAUCUUUAUCCUCACUUUUAUUUUUAGGUUUCUCACAGCUUGCCAGAAUCAAUGAACAAAUUCACGUUUCAGAUUCUAUACCCUUCUAAUUUUUAAAAUCUAUUUUCCAAUACUAAAUAAUAAUUCCCUAUUUGUCACUUCAAAAGCAUGCAUCACUAGCCAAAUAAAUGUGCUCGGCAAGCAUUAUUAGCCUUUUCCACUCUAUUAAAUCAGUAUUUCAUUUAUUUAUUCAAAAAACUAAGAAAGUCAUAUUUUAUUACUGGGAACAGAGCUGAAAUCUGAAGAUAUAAAAAUGAAUAAGAUUCCCUUGUCCUCAAGAAGAUCACAUUCUACAAAACAAAUCAGUGCGAAAAGAAAGGUAAUGCCAUGAGCUUCAUGAAAGACUGAUGACACAGAAAAGUGCUACCACUGAAUUCAUUAACCAAAAAAAUAAAUUAAUCAUUUAAUAAAGAGAGUCAAAUCAGAUAAUUUAUCUGACUAAAAUAAUUUAUUGCCUAUUCUUGACAUAUAGAAUAAAAUCAUUCUGUACCUGAGCCUGCAGGAAAACUCAUAAGCUGCCUCCUCCCUCUGUUGCUAAUUUUUAUCUAGUAUUUUUUUUAAUUCAUCCUAGUUUCUUCUCAAUUCCUAGAGCCCACCAACCUAUUUUUUCCAAAUGCAUGACUUUCCAUUUGUUUCAUAUGUUACAAUGUUCUUUUCCUUGAUCUAGCUAUGCUUGGUUUGUCUACUCAUUUAGUCCGCAAAUUAAAUGUCACUAUCAAAAAAAAAAAAUACUUUUCUAACCACUCAACUCAAAAAUACCUAUAAAAAUAUUAGAGUUGUCUGGUUGUUACUAAGGUACAUUAACACUUUCCAGGAGGACAAUAGAAAUUUAAGAUGGUUAUCAAACUAUAAAAGUGAUUUUUGAAAGAGAGAGGGACACUUUUGUAUAUUACCUCUAAUAGUAGGCCCUUAGCUUUCAUAGUAGGAGAAUAGACACCACUGAUGGCAUACUUGGAAUUUGACAGUUUUAGUUUCACACUUUUAAAGAUCAAUUUGUCAGCCAAGUAAAACCUAUUAUGCUAAGAUCAGAGCCAUUGGGUAAAGAAAACAUGACAUGGAAACAUCUGGAUGGAUCCCAAUAGGAUUGUAGCUCUAAUGAUUCCUCUGAAUCCUUAGAAUCUGAAGAGGUUGUUCAUCCCCUGCUAAUAAGAAGUAGCACUUCCGUCAUAUGGAAAUACAGUGCAAGGGAGACUUCUUGUGCACAAGGAAAGAACUGCUCUCACCUUCCCUCUUAGCUUCCAGGCCAAUAAAAAUACUAAAGAAAAGCGUAUGUAAGAUGGACAUAUCCCAGGCCUAAUGAAGGAAAGAAGAGAUUACACAUCAAAGUAGCUAGCAAUUACCAGCAGGUACCUGGGUGGCACCAGUGGGAUUGAAUUUUGGCAAUGUGUGAUCAAUGGAUGUAGUACAUAAAGCUAAAUGAGCAAGAGUUUAUUGAUUUAGGAACAAUCUUUUGAAAUAGAAAAUUUAACUUCCCCACAGGGAAAAUUAGAUAAACUUCCCAGAAAAUUAAGUAAACUUCCCAGCAAAUUAGGUAAACUCAUUACUAUGGAGGCUCUAAGAAGUCUAGAGAAAGUAAUGCACCUCCAGAAAUAAGUUGAAUGCUUGAGUUCUCUGUCAUCUCAGAUGGAAGAGAAAAUGGCCCAAGGAUAUAGGCAUGCAGGAAUAUAUAUAUCAUACGCGGCUAGAAGGAACACAGGAUUUUAUUCUACAGAAGGGUCAAAGGACAUAUAUACUAAAGCCAUCAGGAUUAUACUGAUGGGAGGAUACCAGUUUCACUAUGAAGCUCCGUGUUGGAUCUCUGAUGCAGGCCAGGGGAUACAGUCAGGGAGAUACAGUCUCUUGACUUACUGAUAUCAAUGGAGAUUUUUGAUUCUCGAAGUAAUUGAGACCAGACUGUAGACUACCAGAAAUCAGAAGGCUUCAGUUACCUUAACAGCCUUGGAGGAACAGUAAGAUGGUUUAAACAGAGUUCAGCCUCAGACCAUAAUUCUGUAUGUGAUCAUCAGCUUGACUAUAGACAAUUACAAAAACUUUACCUGGAAAAUUUCACAGGGAAAGAUAUGCUCCCCAAAGCAGACUUGGUGCACAGCUAAUGUACUGCAGGGUCUAAUGGGAAUUGCUCUCAAAGAGUCAUGGGCCCUAUCCCAGCAUGGUAGAUAUAGAGCCAACAUUAGUCUAAAGAAGGCAAGGCUGAUCUCCAUCGUAUCUGCAUUUAACCUCCCCCUCAUCCAGCCUGGUUGCUGUGGCUACUAGAUGAAUCCUGAAGAAUGACUAUAGUCUAGAACAAGAUAAAACAGUUAGUAGUCCUGAUCACAGCUCCAUGCUGAGUGUGGUAUCAUUGCUAAUGUAGUUUAAAAAGGCUUUGGGUAUAUGGUAUAUGUCUAUUGAUUGACAAGCAUUUUUUUGCCAUUCCAACC